ensembl:snoRNA
GGGACGUGAUCAGAGCCGGGUUCCUGAAGGAUGGCUUCUCUGUUUCCAACACAUCCACCAGGAACUUGGUACUUCUCACAGGUGGCAGGAUGCUAUGACCUUCCUGUGACAUUAUGCCCUAUACAU